CCUACGGGAGGCUGCAGUGGGGAAUAUUGGACAAUGGGGGGAACCCUGAUCCAGCCAUGCCGCGUGUGUGAAGAAGGCCCUCGGGUUGUAAAGCACUUUCAGUGAGGAAGAACGCCUGGUGGUUAAUACCCAUCAGGAAAGACAUCACUCACAGAAGAAGCACCGGCUAACUCCGUGCCAGCAGCCGCGGUAAUACGGAGGGUGCGAGCGUUAAUCGGAAUUACUGGGCGUAAAGCGCGCGUAGGUGGCUUGAUAAGCCGGUUGUGAAAGCCCCGGGCUCAACCUGGGAACGGCAUCCGGAACUGUCAAGCUAGAGUGAAGGAGAGGAAGGUAGAAUUCCCGGUGUAGCGGUGAAAUGCGUAGAGAUCGGGAGGAAUACCAGUGGCGAAGGCGGCCUUCUGGACUGACACUGACACUGAGGUGCGAAAGCGUGGGUAGCAAACAGGAUUAGAUACCCGUGUAGUC
rnacentral:rRNA from 1 species